UACGUAGGGGGCAAGCGUUAUCCGGAAUUACUGGGUGUAAAGGGAGCGUAGACGGUAAUGUAAGUCUGGAGUGAAAGGCGGGGGCCCAACCCCCGGACUGCUCUGGAAACUAUGUUACUAGAGUGCAGGAGAGGUAAGCGGAAUUCCUAGUGUAGCGGUGAAAUGCGUAGAAAUUAGGAGGAACACCAGUGGCGAAGGCGGCUUACUGGACUGUAACUGACGUUGAGGCUCGAAAGCGUGGGGAGCAAACAGG
rnacentral:rRNA from 1 species